rnacentral:lncRNA from 1 species
CGUUCACUGUGUCUAAUGUUGCAGUAACAUCCCAAGAAUUUCACGGCCAUGCCAAAAUUCGAUCCAGCCCAAACCACUACAUCCAGAGCUGCUAACGAUCUGGGAAGCGCCAGUCCUCACCCAUCCUCGUCCUUCGUGACUUCUCGGCAGGACCUGACACUGCACAUCCCGUGCGCUUGUGCUCCCGUCUCCAGGUUUUUGCGACAUUCUUCUCUCCUGGCUAUCCCUUCGCAGGUUCUUCAUCUUGUCAUGCUGGCUAACCUGGGGAGACCCUUCGGGCUCUGCCCGGGGACCUCUUUUCCCUGUUUCCCAUCUCAUCAGAUGGCUUAGACUUUAAUCUCUGUGCUGAUGACCCUCAGAUCUGCUAGUCCAGCUCAGAGAGGCAACUCCUUCUCAGGCUGCCUAUUAGACAUCUUCAGUUGGAUAGCCUGUAGCCACCCUAAACUCAACGCGUCCAAAGCUGAAUUCCUCUUUCUCCUGCAGACGCUUUCCUCUUCUGAAGUUCUCUAUUACUGUUGAGGGUCCCACCGUCCAACCAGGCCCCUAGGUUUGCAACCUGUGUGCCAUCCUUAACUCUUCCCCUACAACCAACCAGUGGUCAAGUCCUGCUCUUUCAUCUCUCCUCUGUCCCUACCUUGGGGCAGGCCCCUCCUCACCUCACACCUGUACUACUGCAGUCUCCUCUUGGUGGUCUUCCCUUCCUCAACUCUGCCCCCACUCCUUCAAGUCACCAUCCACUCAGGUUUAACCAUAUCCCCUCCUCUCCCCCAUUCAGUAAAGCCCAGCGGCUCCCUAUCACCUCCGGCAUUAAAUAUCAAAUCCCGGUUGGCUCUUAAAGCUCUUCAUAAACCGACCCCUCCCCGCCUUUCCAGUCUUCUCACAGGCUCUGCCAUUCAUCGACACUGUCCUUGCUGUUCUCGGAAGACUGCAUCUUCCACUCCCGUCCUGCACGCCUGCGAAGCUCUCUCUCCCGGCUCCCUGCAAGUCUCAGCUAAAGUCUGACCUUCUGCAGGAAGCCUUUCUUAGUCCUCCACCCCAGAAACUGCUCCCGAUCUGCCCAGCGUGGAUCUCGCUGACACUCAAUUGUCGCAUUUUGUCUUCCCAUUCACGAGAAGAGCUCCUGGAGGCCGCGGUCGGCUGCUCCUCCUUUGAAUCUCUAGCACUUAAUCGAUUGUCAUGACCUCACGAGACUCAGUGAACAUAACAAUGGAAGCCAAAGGAACCGCAACAACACAAGCAGACAAUCAUAAUUACCCUAUCUUAUACCAGUGAAUGAGAACAGAGACAAAGUGGUGAAAGAUCAUCGGUGUUGAACGCUGAAUACAUUAUCAGACUGGCUUCAACUGAGCUGCUCUUUCCCCUUUAUUUGGGAAGGGGAAGAGACAUAUUUGGAAAUGAAAGUGAUGUAAAAACAAAAGAUGGUAAUAAAAUUGUAUUUUUAAAAAUCA